CAUUGCUAGCCAAUUUCAUUCUCUUUUUACCACAUUUUUCUCACCUAGAAGAUAACAAUUGUGAAGAUAUAUAUUUAUUCAUUUAAGUUUCGACAUUGUCAAUUACAUGACUAUUUAUUCCGCUAAAUGAGUAUAACCAACAAUAGAACUCAUAAAUAAUAAAGAGUAGCAUAGAUUGGCAAAAUAUUAUAGAACAACAUGCUAUUCAGAGUAGAUCGAUCAUGCUGGCCCA
rnacentral:lncRNA from 1 species